GCUGGUCAGAGAAGCCGAAGACUAAAGUCCUGCCCUCAACGGGCUCAUUGUUUUGGGGGGCACACAAUGCUGUACGAAGUGAAAGAAUGAUUUCCGAAGAAGGGUUAAAGGAAGGGAGGGUGGCAGAAGUUUAGAACACAGCCAAGGUCAGAGUGAAGCCCCAAGGAGGAUGCUGCAGAGGCCCAGGGCUCCUGGAAACAACCUGAAACCACUGCUCUGAGCCAUCGCAGAAGCCACAGCCAGACACAGCUUCCGAAAAUUCCUUUCUACUCAAAUGCUGCUCCUCAAAAAUCAACUGGUUGGUGGGAAUGUAAAUGCUGGCGGUAUUCGCUGAGGCCGAACAUACUGCCAUUCUAGUCCUGGGUGUGUACCUGACAGAAAUGUGUGUGCAUGUUCACGAAAAGACAUGCAUUAGCAUGUUCAGAGCAGCCCCGUUUAUAACAGCCCAAAACAGAAACUGCCCAGUGACCCACACAGGAUAACAACAAGUCACUCAGCGAAAUACUCUACAGCAACGACAGUGAAGAAGCCUCAAAUGCAUGCAACACUGUGGAUGACUCUCAGGGACAUAAAGUGAGUAAAAGGAGCCAGAAGCGAGUUAAAAGAGGAGUACGUACCACAGGGAAUCCAUUAAGUACAAAGACGGGGGAAACUGACCUGUGCUGUCAGACACGGGGCCAGGGUUAUUUUUGGAGAGGGAGGUGCCAAGGGGCACAGGGGGGAUUUUCUCAGUGCUGGCUGCGUAUGUGCAUGUGGGCUUAGCUUGCAAAAGAAAAAAAAAAUCAUUACACUUCUGAUUUGGGUAAGGUGCUGUAUGAUAUUACACUUCAAAAAAAAAAGGUACAAAAAGAAAACAAAACCGUUGACUGCUCCCAAUUAAAUCAACUUACACUGUGGCCCAGAAGCGCUUUACAAUGUGGCUGUAACAUAC